GCAUUAGUGGGGUAGUGGUAACCUGGGUCGUUGCCAUUCUGUGGGGUUACGUUUGUGUCGACCCGCCGGGAGUUCGAUUCUCUCCUAAUGCA